GAUGAACGCUGGCGGCGUGCUUAACACAUGCAAGUCGAACGAUGAAGCCCAGCCUGCUGGGCGGAUUAGUGGCGAACGGGUGAGUAACACGUGAGUAACCUGCCCUUGACUCUGGGAUAAGCCCGGGAAACUGGGUCUAAUACCGGAUAGGAGCGCCUGUCGCAUGACGGGUGCUGGAAAGAUUUUUCGGUCAUGGAUGGACUCGCGGCCUAUCAGCUUGUUGGUGAGGUAACGGCUCACCAAGGCGACGACGGGUAGCCGGCCUGAGAGGGUGACCGGCCACACUGGGACUGAGACACGGCCCAGACUCCUACGGGAGGCAGCAGUGGGGAAUAUUGCACAAUGGGCGGAAGCCUGAUGCAGCGACGCCGCGUGAGGGAUGACGGCCUUUCGGGUUGUAAACCUCUUUUCAGUAAGGGAAGAA
rnacentral:rRNA from 1 species